rnacentral:misc_RNA from 1 species
AACUUUCUACAACGGAUCACUUGGUUCUGGCAUCGAUGAAGAACGCAGCGAAAUGCGAUAAGUAGUGUGAAUUGCAGAAUUCAGUGAAUCAUCGAAUCUUUGAACGCACAUUGCGCCCUUUGGUAUUCCUUAGGGCAUGCCUGUUCGAGCGUCAUUUAAACCUUCAAGCUCUGCUUGGUGUUGGGCACGUCACGCCCCCCUCCGCGGGGGCGUGCGCCUCAAAUGUAUUGGCGGCCGGUACGUUGGCUUCGAGCGCAGCAGAAACGCGAACUCGAGGACUCCGGAUCGGCCCUCCACAAGCUAUUUUAUCAUUUUGACCUCGGAUCAGGUAGGGAUACCCGCUGAACUUAAGCAUAUCAAUAAGCGGAGGCU